CCCUUAGAUGUUCUGGGCCGCACGCGUGCUACACUGAGUGGAUCAGCGGGUCAGGUUGCGCGAAAGCGUUUCCUAAUCUUUAAAUCCGCUCGUGAUGGGGAUUGACGGUUGCAAUUUUCUGUCAUGAACGAGGAAUACCUUGUAAGCGCGGGUCAUCAUCCCGCGCUGAAUACGUCCCUGCCCUUUGUACACACCGCCCGUCGCACCUACCGAUUGAAUGGUCCGGUGAAAUCUUGGGAUUUUGUUUUGUUUGCAUUUAUUUGUAUCGAGACGAGAGAACUUGAGUAAACCUUACCAUUUAGAGGAAGGUGAAGUUGUAACA
rnacentral:rRNA from 1 species